rnacentral:piRNA from 1 species
UGAAGAAACAAAAGCAUUUAGCACAUUUC